GCUUUUCACCUUGUUGUUGAAUACUUGACAUUUGUCUCUUUUUUUUUGUUGCUUAUUCAAAACAAGAAAGAAGUAUUGUUUUGCCUAUCUGUUCUGUUAGUGGGGAUACAAUGAUUCACCGAUACGCGUCGGUCCCCCGGUUCAAAUGUUUAAGAUGUGAGUGCAUCUGUCCGUGGGAGCCCAAACCAAUCCAUAUGUAGCAUGCAUCGCCUAUGACACUUUUAUGCAUGUAACUGCAUGUGAUAUUGAUCUACAAGUCCGAUAACCGCGCAGUGCGGGAGACGCAGCUGCUCGCGCCAACGAGAGGUAGGGCUACCUACCCUAUCCCUGUUCUAAUAUUCGUAGGCAACAUCUGCACAGCACCUUCAGCAUUUACAUGUUUUUAAAAUGUCUUUUGCAAUAUUAAAUUGGUUUCCCUCAAUUAAUAUCUAUGUAAUUUGCUGGGUCAUUUAGCUAGGCUUCCAUCCAAUUGGAAUAUUCUCAAAUCUGCAUAAAAACCAUAUGCAGAUUUUCAUCACACAAUUUUCCAUCAAGUUGACCUGUUGAGGAUAAAAGGCUGGCGUUGUGCACAUAAAAAUAGCGUUUGCGGUUAAAUUCCCAUGUACUGAAUAGAAAAUACAAGAUAAAUGGGUUUCUACCGCAUUUUCAACUCUACUGAUGGUUUUCUCACAAAAAAUGUUGUUAUAUAGUGAGUGUACCCACUCUGGUAUUGGCACGUGCGCUGUAGCCAUCAGGUCGCAGACACAGUGUGGGUAUAGCCUACAUUAGAUUAUUAUGGACAAAAGAGAGAUUAUUUUUGUCACGGCAGCCAAGUGUCAACGAUCAUGUCACCAGAAUAAGACACUAUUUAUUGGGAGGAAGCAUCAAGCUCAUCACCUGCACUUUCACCACCCUGUGAAGUUCACUUAUUUCAUCAGUAUCCUAAUAAACUGCAUGCUUUCCUGACAAGUCCUAAUGUGGGAGGAUCACACGUCAUUGCGUUACUCCAGGUUUACUUCGAUAUACUGGUUAUUAUGUAGCAGUAUUUAUUAGAGAGGUAAAUAUAAAGAUUAUGUUCGGGCGCCAGGCAGGUAUUAACCAUGCCGAAAGGACAAGAGUAGAAUAGAGAGAGUACCACUACCAGAUCCACACACAUCAACAGAAGAGACUGCCUAGAGUGUAGCCUGUUUCCCAGAUAGCCAGUGGAGAGAAGACACACCAUAUAAACCCACGUCACAGCACAGGGGUAACCCCACCAAUAAUACCUCAUCAGCACAGGGGUAACCCCACCAAUAAUACCUCAUCAGCACAGGGGUAAACCCACCAAUAGUACCUCAUCAGCACAGGGGUAACCCCACCAAUAAUACCUCAUCAGCACAGGGGUAACCCCACCAAUAAUACCUCAUCAGCACAGGGGUAACCCCACCAAUAAUACCUCAUCAGCACAGGGGUAACCCCACCAAUAGUACCUCAUCAGCACAGGGGUAACCCCACCAAUAAUACCUCAUCAGCACAGGGGUAACCCCACCAAUAAUACCUCAUCAGCACAGGGGUAACCCCACCAAUAAUACCUCAUCAGCACAGGGGUAAACCCAC